GAUGAACGCUAGCGGCAGGCUUAAUACAUGCAAGUCGUGGGGCAGCAUGAGUAGCAAUACUUGAUGGCGACCGGCAAACGGGUGAGGAACACGUACACAACCUUCCUUCAAGCGGGGAAUAGCCCAGAGAAAUUUGGAUUAAUACCCCAUAAUAUAUUUGAUAAGGCAUCUUAUUAAUAUUAAAGCUUCGGCACCUUGAUGAUGGGUGUGCGGCUGAUUAGAUAGUUGGCGGGGUAACGGCCCACCAAGUCUACGAUCAGUAGCUGAUGUGAGAGCAUGAUCAGCCACACGGGCACUGAGACACGGGCCCGACUCCUACGGGAGGCAGCAGUAAGGAAUAUUGGACAAUGGACGAAAGUCUGAUCCAGCCAUGCCGCGUGAAGGAUUAAAGGUCCUCUGGAUUGUAAACUUCUUUAUAUGGGACGAAAAAAGGGCAUUCUUGUUCACUUGACGGUACCAUAUGAAUAAGCACCGGCUAACUCCGUGCCAGCA
rnacentral:rRNA from 1 species